rfam:Salmo salar isolate Sally breed double haploid chromosome ssa13, whole genome shotgun sequence.
UUCCCUGUGGCUCAGUUGGUAGAGCAUGGUGUUUGCAACGCCAGGGUUGUGGGUUCGAUUCCGACGGGGGACC